rnacentral:rRNA from 1 species
GACGGGGGCCCGCACAAGCGGAGGAACAUGUGGUUUAAUUCGAUGAUACGCGAGGAACCUUACCCAGGCUCGAACGGUACAGGAAUAAAGGAGAGAUUCUUUAGCUCAGCAAUGAGUCUGUAUCGAGGUGCUGCAUGGUUGUCGUCAGCUCGUGCCGUGAGGUGUCGGCUUAAGUGCCAUAACGAGCGCAACCCCUGUCGUCAGUUGCCAUCAGGUAAAGCUGGGCACUCUGGCGAGACUGCCACCGUAAGGUGCGAGGAAGGUGGGGAUGACGUCAAAUCAGCACGGCCCUUACGUCUGGGGCGACACACGUGUUACAAUGGCAGGUACAGAGGGUAGCCAGGCGGCGACGCCGCGCCAAUCCCAAAAGCCUGUCUCAGUUCGGACUGGAGUCUGCAACUCGACUCCACGAAGCUGGAUUCGCUAGUAAUCGCGCAUCAGCCAUGGCGCGGUGAAUACGUUCCCGGGCCUUGUACACACCGCCCGUCAAGCCAUGGAAGCCGGGGGUGCCUGAAGUCCGUGACCGCAAGGAGCGGCCUAAGGCAAAACUGGUGACUGGGGCUAAGUCGUAACAAGGGUAGCCGUACCGGAA